CCAGAAUUUUCCUGCGUGACUCAGUACUCAGAGGUAGUGAGCACUUCUGGAAUAUGAUGUGGUUAUAGCUGGAAGUAAAUAGCAGUCUGAAGGAUGUGACUAUCCCACUCUACUCUGCCCUCAUUUUGGCUUCAUCUGGAGUACUGCAUCCAGGUCUGGGUCCUGCAGUACCUAACAUAGGAAAGAUGUGGAGCUUUUGAAGAGGAUCCAGAGGAGGGCCUUUAAGAGGGCUGGAGCACCUCUCCUACAGACACAAUCAGAGGGAGCUGGGCUUGUUCAACAUUGUGAAGAUAAGGCUCUGAGGGACCUCAUUUUGGCUUUCCAGAAUUUAAAGGGAAAUUAUAAACAGAAGUUAAAUCAACUUUUUACAUGGAUGGUUCUUAGGAAGAAGGAACAACCUCUUCUCCAUUUUUGAAAAAAAGAUAUAGGCAACUACCUUCAGGAAUGGAAUCAGGAUCUCGUUGCUCAAGAGGAAGAAAGUGCAUUCAGAUGCUGUCCCAUUCACUUCAGCUGGAGAAGCAAGCAAAGAAUCACAUCUUUAAUUCGGUGCAGAUCAGAGGAGAUGAAGAUAUAUGCCAUAUUAUCUGGUGCUCCAAUUACUUGGAUAAUUACUUUCAGCAGCACAACAGGACAGAUUAAAUAUUCAUAUAAUCACA